AAUCGCUAGUAAUCGCGGAUCAGCAUGCCGCGGUGAAUACGUUCCCGGGCCUUGUACACACCGCCCGUCACACCAUGAGAGUCGGGAACACCCGAAGCCCGUAGCCUAACUUGCAAGAGAGGGGCGGGGUCGAAGGUGGGUUCGAUAAUUGGGGUGAAGUCGUAACAAGGUAUC
rnacentral:rRNA from 1 species